rnacentral:misc_RNA from 1 species
UACGAGGGGUGCAAGCGUUAUUCGGAUUUAUUGGGUUUAAAGGGUGCGUAGGCGGAAUAGUAAGUCAGUGGUGAAAGCCUGCAGCUUAACUGUAGAAUUGCCAUUGAUACUGCUAAUCUUGAGUAUAGAUGAAGUGGGCGGAAUGUGUCAUGUAGCGGUGAAAUGCAUAGAUAUGACACAGAACACCGAUUGCGAAGGCAGCUCACUGAACUAUAACUGACGCUGAGGCACGAAAGCGUGGGGAUCAAACAGG